rnacentral:snRNA from 1 species
GGCUUUGCUCAGUGGCAGUAUCGUAGCCAAUGAGGUUUAUCUGAGGCGCGAUUAUUGCUAAUUGAAAACCCAUGCUGGGUUGGGAACCAGCAGUUAGCGUAAUGGCUAUGUCGCU